UUUCAAUUUUGAUGAUAGGAUGUUGAUUUUAGAUCUCUCCUUGCUUCUCAUGUGGGCAUUUAUUACUAUAUAUUUUCCCCUACAGACUGCUUUAAACAUGUCCCAGAGAUUCUGGUAUGUUGUGUCUUUGUUCUCGUUUGUUUCGAAGAACAUCUUUAUUUCUGCCUUCAUUUCAUUGUUUAUCCAGUCAACAUUCCAGAGCCAGUUGUUCAGUUUCCAUGAAGCUAUGUGAUUCUUAGUUUAUGAAUUCUGAGUUCUAGCUUGAUUGCACUGUGGUCUGAGAGACUGUUUGUUAUGAUUUCUGUUCUUUUGCAUUUGCUGAGGAGUGAUUUACUUCCAAUUAUUUGGUCAAUAUUAGAGUAGGAAUGAUGUGGUUCUGAGG